rnacentral:lncRNA from 1 species
AGGGCCCUGUCAGUUCUGCUUUGGCUGUCACCUUGCAGUGGUUCGUCUGCCCUUUUGGGGCCCUGACCUCGGCUCUGCCUCCUCGGGCCUGCAGUCAAGCCAACGACAUGAAGCCCAUCAAGGCAUGCAGAGAAGAGGAUGUGACCUUUCCAUGAGACAGGUUUCCCAGAAGUGAUGAUUCCACACGAGUGAGGACAAAUGAUGUCCUCAGGCAUGACAGGAUGUGCAGUUGGACCACAGAACUCAGCCUACGGUGGAGGUGACGUGAGUCACUCAAAUGGCAGCUACUGCUUGCAGCUUUACGCUGCCCUAGGCUAUGGAAAUGGCUUCGGCUGCUAUCCCACAGCUCCCUAUCUGCGCCUCUG